UACGAAGGGGGCUAGCGUUGCUCGGAAUUACUGGGCGUAAAGCGCACGUAGGCGGUCUUUUAAGUCGGGGGUGAAAUCCUGGAGCUCAACUCCAGAACCGCCUUCGAUACUGGAAGACUCGAGUCCGGGAGAGGUGAGUGGAACUGCGAGUGUAGAGGUGAAAUUCGUAGAUAUUCGCAAGAACACCAGUGGCGAAGGCGGCUCACUGGCCCGGUACUGACGCUGAGGUGCGAAAGCGUGGGGAGCAAACAGG
rnacentral:rRNA from 1 species